rnacentral:rRNA from 1 species
GUCGAACGAAGCACUUUAUUUGAUUUCCUUCGGGAUUGAUUAUUUUGUGACUGAGUGGCGGACGGGUGAGUAACGCGUGGGUAACCUGCCUUGUACAGGGGGAUAACAGUUGGAAACGGCUGCUAAUACCGCAUAAGCGCACAGCAUCGCAUGAUGCAGUGUGAAAAGCUCCGGUGGUAUAAGAUGGACCCGCGUUGGAUUAGCUAGUUGGUGAGGUAACGGCCCACCAAGGCGACGAUCCAUAGCCGACCUGAGAGGGUGACCGGCCACAUUGGGACUGAGACACGGCCCAAACUCCUACGGGAGGCAGCAGUGGGGAAUAUUGCACAAUGGGCGAAAGCCUGAUGCAGCGACGCCGCGUGAGCGAAGAAGUAUUUCGGUAUGUAAAGCUCUAUCAGCAGGGAAGAUAAUGACGGUACCUGACUAAGAAGCACCGGCUAAAUACGUGCCAGCAGCCGCGGUAAUACGUAUGGUGCAAGCGUUAUCCGGAUUUACUGGGUGUAAAGGG